rnacentral:lncRNA from 1 species
UGAAGUACAGAUAACUCAGACUGUAGUCUUCGCUCUAAUCCCUCUUUUGCCUGGAUCUCCCUUUCGGGUUUUCAAUCCACCGGGAUACCCAUUUUUGCCUAAGCCGCCCUUGCAGGUUUUCGACUUACCGGGUGUACAAAUUUUUUUCAUUUUUUAUCCCUAACUUUUGCCCGAACCUUUUCCUUUUUUUUUUUUUGGUUCGCCGGGAUGCCCUUUUUUGCCUGGAUUGUUUUAUUCUUUUUGUCCAGCGGGUCAAUUUAUGCGAAGUAUUUUUUGACUAC